CUGGCUGUUUGGCUGCACAUAUACUAAAAUUGGAACAAUAAAUAGAAGAUGAGUGUGGCCCUUGCUCAAUGAUGACAUGCAGAUUUGUGAAGAGUUCCUUAUUUAA
ensembl:snRNA U6 U6 spliceosomal RNA